rnacentral:lncRNA from 1 species
GAACGGGGAAGGCCAAAAGCAAAGGCAAACAAGGAAAAUAUCACGUGGCCCCACAUUUAAUAUUGACUACAUUUUGAUUCCUUUAAUUCACACAUUCAGGGAGCUUCAUGGAAUUGAAUGCACAUUAGUGGGGCCCACACGGUUUCUAAUUUCUUACUAUAUUCCAAGAAUUUUGACAGAAGGGGGGACACACAGAAAACGGAAAAAAAGGAACCCUAGAGACAUCCGCCGCCUUAUGCCCUAUCUCCGCCAACGACCAACUGAAACGAGCCCAGCUCCGCUUCGUCGUCCAGACGACCACCACACACGACCCUACUGCCCAAACGAACACCCUCUUCAUCAACCAAAAACACACGAGAAACCCUAGCAGUUCCCUAACACCAUAACCCCGCUGGCCAGCCGCCGCCGGGCCACCCUAGCUACUGGCCCUCCAUCUUCAGCAACCUAUCUCCACGACCCAGCAACGCCCAAACUUCUGCCCUUCGUUCACAUCCAAAUGACCACUCUUUGCUCUCCAUCCCAGCAGCUAACCCCCGCCUCUAUCUCUCUCUUUUCUGUCUCACCUCCAUCGCCGGCAAACGAGAGGGCAGUGGCCGCUCAGAAACAUCACCCCGUUUUCAGGUGCCUCCGAAUCUCCUCAUUAAUUAUCGGCAUAAGACUAGCCGUAUUUCUACUGAAAAUUCUUUGAAUAUGUAUCAAAAGCUUAAUGUCAGGAGUUCUUCUCUUAGUUUUCUAAUUUUGAUGACUCCUUGAAAUUCCACAAUAAUAAAAACCACAUAAAAUUGUUGUUGUUUGAUUCUGACAUGGUGAGCCUAUGAGGUUUCGUCCGUCGAGCUCGAGUUCCCCAGUUCCGUCCGAGUUCGCUUAUCAUUUCUUUUAAUUUCGGCUGUCUCUUUUCGUUUGAUUGCUCGUAUAAUUGCUGGAAACUUUCAUCAGUUAAAAGUUCAGCAUUCAAGGCCCAUUCCUCUAUUCUUAACUCUCUUUCUGAUUUUCACGUAUUUCUGAUUGUGAUAAUGUUAGUUUGAUGUUGGAUUUUUUUUAGUUUCGUUUAAAUUUUCUAAUCACAUCCCCUAGAGCUUCAUUAGUAUUAGUUUAUGUCUUGUUUGCUAUGUGAGUUUUACAACGUAUGAGUCAGUUUAUGCAUUUCGGCACGUUCAUUGGACUUAACAUAUUUGGACUCAAGUAGCUUUGUCAUCGUUAUCUUGUUCUAUUGGAUUGCUAAUGACAUCUUUUAGGCUCGGUAACAAGUAGGCACAACUCAAAUAAUUUGGGGUAGGCAAACAUGUAUUAGGAAGAACUAUGCAUAUUUUUGUUCUUGAGGUGAAAGAUCGUUUUCUUAGUUAAAUUUAAUCGGGGAAUGUCCGAAAGAUUUGUAUAUAUUUUAUCCGAAGUAUCAUUUAUUUGGAGGCCAUGACGAACAUUGUGGAGGAAGUACAAUGCAUGCUAGCUUUUAUUUUAUUUUAUUUUACUAGCUGGGACGACCUCGGGCCUCUUGUGUGUUUAUUUUUAUUUUUUUAUGUUUUCCACCUCAAUCGAAUACUUUAAUAGCCAACUAGAUCGAGUACGCAACCGUGACCUUCACGGGACGUGGGGAGUGCCUAACAUCUUCUCCUUGAGUCAAAUGAACCCCGUUACCCUUAUUUCUGGUUAGACUUAAUUUUAGACUCCAAAUGUUUUAAAAAGAAAAAUAUUUUCUAACAAAAAUGGUGGCCCGGCACACCGAAAUCAAAUGCCAGGUAGCGACUCUGAGUUUAUUUUCUUUUGAAACACAAUUUUUGUCACUUUCAAAAUUGAAAACCCUUUUCAAGCUUUAUUUAAAUCUUUUUAUUAAUUUAAGAGGGUUUAAUAUAGGUUUGUUCUAAAAAAAAAAGGAAGUGACAUCUCUGGCGACUCUGCUGGGGAGUUGCCGGUUCGAGCUAGUACUUGAUCGUGUUGGGUUUAAGGAUUUUCAGUUGAGGUUUUUAUGUGUUGUGUUUGUUUUAUUUGAUUUUUAUUUUGUUUAUGUCCUUUUUUUAAUUUGCUACUUGCUUAUUUGUUUACAGUUUUUCCUUUAUGCGUUACUGCUUUAUAACUGUCAUCAUUUGCAUAACCCCGAGUCUUCUCUCUGCAACAAGUCUUCCGGAGUACGUUUGAGCGUACAUGACCUUUUUGUGAGUCACCCGUGUCUUUAGGGGCUGGCGUGGGAGCGUGGAGUGGGCGGAUAGCUAGAGCAGCCACUAUCGACCACGUGCCGCCCCGAAUUGCCUUGUUAGUGAACCCCAAACUUAGAUCAGUCUUUAGGUCAUUUUGUUUGCAUCAUCUCAUCUACACCUAGUAGGGCUCGGUCCAAGGCACCGUGUUCCUUUGUGGGAAGCCUGUCAAAAUUUUUUCCAAAUGGGCUCGUGGCUCAGAAAGACAUUCAAUCAUCCAUAUGUGAUACAUGUUGCAUAUUUGAUGGUAAUAAGGUUAUUUGCCAGACCGAUAUUUGGAAAGAAGGGUGAAAAAUGAAGCAAGCAGGGCCCACUCGUAUUUUUUCUUUCAUAAUCUUUCAAAAAUAAAAAAAAUAGAAAAUACAAAAUAAAAAAAUAUCACUUUUCCAUCAUUUUAUAAAAAAUCAAAAAAUGAAAAUUGAAAAAUACAAAAAAAAAUUUAUACUUUGCCAUCUUUUAUCCAUAAAUUAACAAAAAAAGAAAAUAGAAAAUCCAAAAAGAUUUUGCACUUUAUUAUUUUCCAAAAAAUCCAAAAAACAAUAUUAAAAAAAAUCCAAAAGACUUUACAUUAUUUUGCAAAAUUCAAAAAGUAGAAAAUGAAAAUACAAAAAAGAUUUUACACUUUUUCAUUAUUUUCCAAAAAUAGAAAAUUCCAAAAUAUUUUACACUUUUCCUUUAUCUUCCAAAAAGGGCAACAAAAAUAAAAAAAUAAAAUCCACAAAAAGUUUUUGUACGUUUUCCCAUUAUUUUCCAAAAAAUCUAAAAAAAGGUUUUACAUUUUCCCAUCACUUUUCAAGAAUUCAAAAAAAAAAAAAAAAAAAAAAAAAAGGAAAAAAAAAAAAUGUUGCAUUUUCUAUCUUUUUUUCCCAAAAAAAAAAAAAAACAAAAAUAGUUUCUUUGUCAAAUUAGAUGCUUUUUUUGAAUCCUAUCAUAUAUUUAAUUUUUCCGAACUACGCGAACCUGUUUCUCGUCUUUCGGGGCGAGAUACGUAGGUAACCCAUAUAGGCCCGAUCUUCCUAGUCUUAUGUUCUUGGCUUUGCGGGGUCUUGCCAAAUCAUGCAUGUCUAGCCACUUGUGUCCAUAUCGACCAUUGUUGCAAAAUGGGGUCAUUUUCGCAAAAGUGGUUCAAUAAACCGUAUCGUAGGAUCUUGAGUCCGCAACAAGGUGUCAUAUUACUUUAAGAUCCUUCCUUUUUGAGUUUGCAUUUUUAGCCACAUUUGGCCAUAUAGGCUAUUUUUGCAAAACGGGCCAUUUUCGCAAAGUAAUUUUUUUAAGGCCAUGAUUGUUGAAAUGUUAGAGCAAUGAGUCAUGCAAGCUUUAAAUGGAUUAUGUUUCAUGCAUUAGGAGGUCAAUUUUGUCAAGUUUGCACUAAUAGCCACUUUCAGUCACUCAAGUCAUUUUGUAAAAUAUAGCCAAAUCGUGUCUUGCAUCUGUCCACUAGGAGGAGUUGUGACAUCACAUGUGUCUUCAGUCACUAACUCUAUUUGAUCUUAUUUUGAGCCAAAUCGUGUCUUGCAUCUUUCCACUAGGAGGAGUCAUGGCAUCACAUAUGUCUUCAAUCACUAAAUCUAUUUGAUUUUAUUUUUCCAUCAGGUAUGGAUACAAGUACCCCAGGACUAUUCUAGUCUUUUGUUAUAUUACUUCCAAUUUUGUAUUUGAAAAAUAAAAAAAUUAUUAUUAUUAUAAAUGAAAAAGUCAAAAAGAUAUUUAUUUUUAGUUUAUUUGUCCAUUGUUUUUCAAGAACUACGCUUGAUCUGAUUCAUGAGGGGCAUGAUACGGAGGCAACCUACAUAGGGUUCGAUCGAAGCAUUAAAAAGAAAAAAAAAGGAAAAAGAAAAAAAAACAAUGAAAUUGUGGGAUUUAAGAAAUUAGUGAAAAAGAAAGAAUGGUAAUCAAAAGAAAAGGGAGGAAAGAAAAUGAAAAACCAAGGAGGGUUAAAGAGAAAAAUGAAGAGGAAAAGGGGCAAGAAGUGAACAAAAUUGGGAUGGUGCCAAAUGACCUUGUACCCUCGAAGCCAUUCUAGAACCAUUAAUUGUUGCUAGGGGCAUUGCACGCAAUGUGAUAUUUCAAUCUGAUAAAUGCUCUAACGCUAACCUGUUGGCUUUAUUUUGCUCCUCUUUGUUACUUUUAUUACAACAGAGGGUGAUUAGUUUGUGGCACUUUAGUGAUUUGUCCAUACAACACAAGGUCAAAAAGCAAGAAAACCAUGGCUAGCUCAGGAAUAGGUUAACCCCUCCCCCCUCCCCGCGUUUAUCCUUUUUCUUCUUGGACAAAGGAACCAAGUUCUUUCUAGAAAAAUGAAAUUUUGUUUGAUAAAUUGCAAAACUAUCACCUCAAGAAGGAAUGUGAGGGGUGUUAGCAUCGAAAAAAGUCAGGCGUCAUGUGGAAGCUAGUAAAUCAUAUUUUCAACGACGAUAAAUCAGACAACAAAAGAGAAAUAUACCAAAGAGACACAAAUAUUUAAUGUCGUUUGGUCAACUGACCUACAUCUACGGCGGAGAUGAGCAAUCCACUAUAUUAUAAUAUAAAAAAGAGUACAAAAUAUCGAGGGAACAACCUCACGGAGAGGCAAACACAAGUAACACACUAACACUUGUUCCGUAAAGUUCUCACCCUAAACGCGACUCUCAAAUCUCAUAUGACUACAUUGUGGAUGCUACUGAAUGAGAAUGAAUGAUCCUCAAUUGAUAGAAGUCCAAACCUUUUCCUACAAGAAAAAGGGCUAGCCAAAUAUGGAAGAUUUGUAAUUUUCUUCUGAAACAAGGAAAAUCCAACUAAGGUAAAAGUGUUGUCCUUUCCUUCAACAAAUAAAAAAAUCGAAUAUGGUAAGAAAUUCAUGAUAACACCUAACAAGGGGUGAGACUUUAAUUAGACGAUUUGUUAUGAAAAUAAUUAUUCAUUGUAGUUAGUGAUUGUUUGGGUGAAUAAUCUAAGGUGAAUUAAUCUUUCAGAUGUUAUCUCUGCGCAUAUUGAAUUAACCAGCGAUGAAGCCAGGAAUUUUCUGAAGGGUAUUCAAAUUUCAAAUAAAAAAAAUCUAAUAAAGAGUGGCGAUGAAGCCAAGAAUUUUCUGAAGGGUAUUCAAAUUUCAAAUAAAAAAAAUCUAAUAAAGAGUGUUUAAUAUAAUGUUAUGUAUCUUUAAAAUCAAAUAUUUUGCUUAUUUACGCAAUGUCAUUUUUCGAUAAAGGAUGAACAAUUGACCACCCUAACUUAAGUGUAGCUUCGCCCCUAGCGAACACCUAACCGGGCAGCCAGUUGUGCCCGGUAAGGCCAAGAGCUAGUUUUGGAGAGUCACUGGCCUUAUUUAUUCGAGGAGACUUGAUUUCGAAAUGAAAUGAUUAAUAUAAUCGAUAUUUUUACUAGUAAAGAGCAUCUAAUCGAGAGAAGCCCUAUAAGCAAUCUUGGUUAGCCUCUCAUAAGAUGAAGAGCAUAAAUGUGGUGAGUUGUAAUUCUGUAUGGAAAUUAAAAAGGAAAGCAACAACAAGACAGGUGACCACAACUAUCAGAAAUGUGCUCAUUUCCACCUAAACAUUCAAAUAUGUCAUUUGGCUGGUCUAUCGUUUGUACUCCCUGGGCUUUGGUGUAAAUGAUUGCAUGUUUUAUAUUUUCUCAUUUUUUCUCCUUCUCUCUUGACAGUUCAAUUUGAAUAUUCUGAUUGUGUGGGGUAAAAUUGGUUAUUGACGGAUGGUCGAAUUGUAAUAUGACACGUGGAACCAAAGAUAGAUAAAAGACGAGUUGGGAAACAAUCAAUUCCCAAGGGAGCAUAGUCGGUGAUGGAAAGUAAAAGACUUGCUAUCGGACAACAUUCAAUGAUGAAAUAUUUGAUGGCGCUAAAUGAGCAGUCGUUACAAAGAAUAUUAACAUUCAAGUCUUGUUGUUACACACUCAUCAUUGGCCCUUUUAUUAUCAUUUAAGAGGAACUUGAUUUUAUGAUCUUGUUUCCCUAGGUAGAAUUAUAAAUAGAGGGGUUAACAACAGAUAACAGAAAUGUAUCAGUCAUGUGUACAUGGGGCAUCCUCCACCUUCCUUCCCCAAUAACUACACUGAAAACUCUGCAACUAUCCCCGCCACUCUCACAAUUCAGAUGCCCAACACCGUUGAUCUCUCGGCAAAACACACACCAUGCUUUACCCCUUAUCCAAAUUACCUUGGCACUUUCUCCGAAACUUUUCAUGUUCCACCAGCCAAAACAACCGCAUUCCCAGCUCAGGAUACCCACUACUAUGCACCACAACCCAGUUUCAACGUCCCGGAUCCUUAUUCCUACACUUCCCACCUUGAGCCUCAGGUUGAAACUGAGAAACUGCCCAAGAACGCGGAGCAGGAGGAGACAUUUAGGAAGGUAAAGAGUCUGGAGCAAUCAUUGAGAAACAUGCAAGGAUUAGGAAGCCAGGUGAGUGUUGCUUAUAAGGAUUUAUGUUUGUUCCCUGAUGUCCAGUUGCAUGUCCGGUUCAAGAUGCCCAAGUUUGAUUUGUAUGAUGGACAUGGGGAUCCUAUAGCCCAUCUGAGGGGUUAUUGCAGUAAGAUGAGAGGCGCUGGGGGAAAAGACAAAUGACUGAUGGCGUACUUCAGUCAGAGUCUGAGUGGGGCAGCUCGGGAAUAGUAUACCUGCCAAGACACCAGCGGAUGGUACACAUGGGACGAUAUGGCUCACGCCUUCGCCCGACACUUCCAGUACAAUAUAGACAUUGUCCCGGAUCGCCUGUCUCUGACCAAGGUAGAAAGGAAGCCCAGCGAAAGCUUUAGAGAAUAUGGGUUCCGAUGGAGGGGGCAAGCUGCACGAGUCAAUCCUCCGAUGGAAGAAGACGAGAUGGUUAAAUACUUUCUUCAAGCCCUGGAGCCCACUUAUUAUGGCUAUUUGAUCUCAGCCAUUGGAUGUGGUAAAGAUGAGAGAAAUGGUGGAAGAGGGAUUGAAGUCGAGCAAGAUCAUGAGCUAUUCAGCCUUGAAAGCCACAACAUAGACAAUUAAGAACGACACCGGAAGCUUACCAGGUCAGAAGAAACAUGAUGAUGUUGCCAUUGUUGUCUCAGGAUCACGACAUGGCCCAAUGAGUCUACCUCACCACUAUACUCAGCCUCGACCCCGACCCCAACUCCAAACCUAUCAUUGGGCUCCACAUAAUCCAUCUCAGCAUUAUCCUUCGAACAACGCCCAAUCAUUUGUUCAACCAAUGGGUCACUGCUUAUGGCGAGCACCAGCACCGCAUAAUACUCUUUCUCCUUCACAACAUUUAUGAGCACCUAAAAACUCUAGGAAACAGGGGCAUAGAGGGGAAAAAAGGCAAAGAAAUUGUUUCACUCCAAUCGGAGAAUCCUACACAAGUUUGUUUGAAAAGUUGACUGCAUAAUACUCUUUCGCCUUCACAAUAUUUUCGAGCCCCCAAAAACCCUAGGAAACAGGGGGCAUAGAGGGAAACAAAGGCAAAUAAAUUAUUUCACUCCAAUAGGAGAAUCCUACAUAAGUUUGUUUGAAAAGUUGAAACAAUCUGGCUUGAUUCAGCCGUUCUUCGGCUAUACUCCAGACCCAUAUGCAAAAGGUUUUGAUCCUACUGUGCGGUGCAUGUACCACUCUAAUGUCCAAGGGCAUAGCAUUGAAGAUUGUCGUUCUUUGAAAGGGAGAUAGAAUAAAUGAUUCAAGAAGGAAUAAUUGUGUUCCAGGACAGUGACACCCAGAAUAUCACACCUGCACAUGAUGAUGCACACUUUGUGGGUGAGGUGCGUGGUGACAAGGAGUAUGAGAGUCCUCUUGGGAGCUUGUUGAGUGAAGUUAACAGAAUUGGAAUCGGUGAAAGUCCUAGCAAUUUUGAUGUGCAAUCCAGUGGCUAAGACGUCGAGUUGGCGAUUGAGAAGACACUCCUUUCUCGGCUUGCUAACGAGGAGUUUUGGUAGUUUAUUUUGUUGUCAUUUGUUGCUUGUUCGUUUAUUUUAGGAUUGUAAUUUAGAUAUUGUCUCGUGGGUCAAACUCUUCCUCUUCUUCUCAUUUUGUCUAGUUCGUUUAGUUUGUAGUAACUUGUCUCGUGUUAUUUAGGAUUGUUCCAGGUUGUAACCCAUGUCUAUUUUUCUUGUUUUGUUCGAACCCUAUUCACCGUCUGUCUAAUGCAAUCUCCUGUUUUCUUUUAUUUCUAGUCAGUUUUGUUUAAGUCAUUUUUCCUUCUAUAGUUCUUUUCAUGCCGACUUUAGUGACAUGACAUGCACGCAUAAUUCUCAGCCUGAUCUUGAAUGUUAGUCUAAUCAUGAAGCAAUGACACAAUUUUGAAGAUGAUAAAAGGAUGUGUUUGAGGAAACAAUUAAAGAUUCACGCAUUCUGAGAUGACCUGAACGAUGAAUUAAGUGAAACUUAGGCAGUUAUUUUUGAAAAUGAAGAUGUUAAUGAGAGCAUACAACACUGAAUUGCCUGUCAUGCAGUUUGAGCUAUCAGUGCUGAAAUGCAUUCUUCCAC